rnacentral:rRNA from 1 species
GAUGAACGCUGGCGGCGUGCCUAAUACAUGCAAGUCGAGCGAACGGACGAGAAGCUUGCUUCUCUGAUGUUAGCGGCGGACGGGUGAGUAACACGUGGAUAACCUACCUAUAAGACUGGGAUAACUUCGGGAAACCGGAGCUAAUACCGGAUAAUAUUUUGAACCGAAUGGUUCAAAAGUGAAAGACGGUCUUGCUGUCACUUAUAGAUGGAUCCGCGCUGCAUUAGCUAGUUGGUAAGGUAACGGCUUACCAAGGAAACGAUGCAUAGCCGACCUGAGAGGGUGAUCGGCCACACUGGAACUGAGACACGGUCCAGACUCCUACGGGAGGCAGCAGUAGGGAAUCUUCCGCAAUGGGCGAAAGCCUGACGGAGCAACGCCGCGUGAGUGAUGAAGGUCUUCGGAUCGUAAAACUCUGUUAUUAGGGAAGAACAUAUGUGUAAGUAACUGUGCACAUCUUGACGGUACCUAAUCAGAAAGCCACGGCUAACUACGUG